rnacentral:rRNA from 1 species
GAUGAACGCUGGCGGCGUGCUUAACACAUGCAAGUCGAACGGAAAGGCUCCUGCUUGCAGGGGUACUCGAGUGGCGAACGGGUGAGUAACACGUGGGUGAUCUGCCCUGCACUUCGGGAUAAGCCUGGGAAACUGGGUCUAAUACCGGAUAGGACGAUGGUUUGGAUGCCAUUGUGGAAAGUUUUGCGGUGUGGGAUGAGCUGGCGGCCUAUCAGCUUGUUGGUGGGGUAAUGGCCUACCAAGGCGUCGACGGGUAGCCGGCCUGAGAGGGUGUACGGCCACAUUGGGACUGAGAUACGGCCCAGACUCCUACGGGAGGCAGCAGUGGGGAAUAUUGAACAAUGGGCGCAAGCCUGAUGCAGCGACGCCGCGUGGGGGAUGACGGCCUUCGGGUUGUAAACUCCUUUCGCUAGGGACGAAGCGUUUUGUGACGGUACCUGGAGAAGAAGCACCGGCUAACUACGUG